CUACAGGCUAACAGUUAAAAACCCUAGCAAGCAGCAACAAAAAAAGUGUUUUGUUUUUUUAGAUGAAUCAAUCAAAAAGCGGGGGUCAAUAAACUAGUGACUGUCGUUGCUGCCCAGUUUCUAGAAAGGUCCCAUCCAAUAGGGAUUGGGCCUGUAAAAUAGCAGGGGGUUUAUUCCCCCAUGCCCCUACCUUGUGGGCAUCAGUCAGAGAUAUUACAAUAAAUAAUG